rnacentral:rRNA from 1 species
GACGAACGCUUGCGGCGUGCUUAACACAUGCAAGUCGAACGGAAAGGCCCUGCUUUUGUGGGGUGCUCGAGUGGCGAACGGGUGAGUAACACGUGAGUAACCUGCCCUUGACUUUGGGAUAACUUCAGGAAACUGGGGCUAAUACCGGAUAGGAGCUCCUGCUGCAUGGUGGGGGUUGGAAAGUUUCGGCGGUUGGGGAUGGACUCGCGGCUUAUCAGCUUGUUGGUGGGGUAGUGGCUUACCAAGGCUUUGACGGGUAGCCGGCCUGAGAGGGUGACCGGCCACAUUGGGACUGAGAUACGGCCCAGACUCCUACGGGAGGCAGCAGUGGGGAAUAUUGCACAAUGGGCGGAAGCCUGAUGCAGCAACGCCGCGUGCGGGAUGACGGCCUUCGGGUUGUAAACCGCUUUCGCCUGUGACGAAGCGUGAGUGACGGUAAUGGGUAAAGAAGCACCGGCUAACUACGUGCCAGCAGCCGCGGCGAUACGUAGGGUGCGAGCGUUGUCCGGAUUUAUUGGGCGUAAAGGGCUCGUAGGUGGUUGAUCGCGUCGGAAGUGUAAUCUUGGGGCUUAACCCUGAGCGUGCUUUCGAUACGGGUUGACUUGAGGAAGGUAGGGGAGAAUGGAAUCCCUGGUGGAGCGGUGGAAUGCGCAGAUAUCAGGAGGAACACCAGUGGCGAAGGCGGUUCUCUGGGCCUUUCCUGACGCUGAGGAGCGAAAGCGUGGGGAGCGAACAGGCUUAGAUACCCUGGUAGUCCACGCUGUAAACGGUGGGUACUAGGUGUGGGGUCCAUUCCACGGGUUCCGUGCCGUAGCUAACGCUUUAAGUACCCCGCCUGGGGAGUACGGCCGCAAGGCUAAAACUCAAAGGAAUUGACGGGGCCCCGCACAAGCGGCGGAGCAUGCGGAUUAAUUCGAUGCAACGCGUAGAACCUUACCUGGGUUUGACAUGGAUCGGGAGUGCUCAGAGAUGGGUGUGCCUCUUUUGGGGUCGGUUCACAGGUGGUGCAUGGCUGUCGUCAGCUCGUGUCGUGAGAUGUUGGGUUAAGUCCCGCAACGAGCGCAACCCUUGUUCACUGUUGCCAGCACGUUAUGGUGGGGACUCAGUGGAGACCGCCGGGGUCAACUCGGAGGAAGGUGGGGAUGACGUCAAGUCAUCAUGCCCCUUAUGUCCAGGGCUUCACGCAUGCUACAAUGGCUGGUACAGAGAGUGGCGAGCCUGUGAGGGUGAGCGAAUCUCGGAAAGCCGGUCUCAGUUCGGAUUGGGGUCUGCAACUCGACCUCAUGAAGUCGGAGUCGCUAGUAAUCGCAGAUCAGCAACGCUGCGGUGAAUACGUUCCCGGGGCU